CAUCGCUCUGCAGGGGCCCCAAGCGUACUUGUACAGGGCAUGUCCAGGGGGUCCAGGUCUGC
rnacentral:miRNA from 1 species